rnacentral:rRNA from 1 species
AAGGGGGACAUCCCGAGCAGAUGCGAAAGCAGGACUUAGUGAACCUCUAGUACGCCUUAGAUGCGGCUAGAGAUUAUCGGAUAAAAGUUACCCCGGGGAUAACAGGCUGGUUCCGUCUAAGAGUUCAUAUCGACGACGGAGUUCGGCACCUCGAUGUCGGCUCAUCACAUCCUGGGGCUGGAGAAGGUCCCAAGGGUUUGGCUGUUCUCCAAUUAAAGUGGUACGCGAGCUGGGUUCAGACCGUCGUAAGACAGGUUGGUUCUCUAUCUUCUGUAGUCGUUGAUACUUGCGAGGAUCUGUCCCUAGUACGAGAGGACCGGGAUGGACUAACCUCUGGUGUACCAGUUGUCGUGCCAACGGCAUCGCUGGGUAGCUAUGUUGGGAAGGGAUAACCGCUGAAAGCAUCUAAGCGGGAAGCCCACCUCAAGAUUAGGUAUCGUUUGAGACCCCUGGGAGAUGACCAGGUUGAUAGGCUCUAUGUGUACGUGCAGAGAUGCAUUAAGCAGAGGAGUACUAAUUCGUCGAUUCUUCGUGAGAA